GUAGGACGUCUGCUCUCAGAUUGCCAAACUAAAAUUGUUGCUCUCAGUAGGACGUCUGCCUCCUCUCGCGAAAGGCGAACUGUGGAUCAGAGGGCCUACCAUAACGAAGUGUGAGUGUUUGCCAUUUUACCCGUCAAUUUCGUGCCAAACAAGUGGCCCUUUUGUUGUCUGGAUUGAAUCUCACGCAUAAAUGUAGAUGGUAUAUGGGGUGAAUUGUGGUUUGCAAAAAGGGGUAGCUCAAUUUGGUGCAGGAUAUAUGGCUGAAAAAGAAGCAACAGCUGCAAUGUUGGACCCUGAGGGAUGGCUAAGAACUAGUGACAUUUGCUAUUUUGAUCAUGAAGGCUUCCUAUUCUAUGUGGAAAGGAUGAAGGACUUUAAUUAAGUACAAGGCUUACCAGGUUGCUCCGGCAGAGCUGGAAAACCUGCUGCUUUCGCAUCCCGAGAUCACUGAUGCUGCUGGGAUCCCGUAUGUUUGUUCAGCCUUCUUUUGCUUAUGUCUUAAGCGGAGUACUGUCUCAGUAGCAUCCAUGUUGAAGUCCCCUACUGUUAAUCUUACAGGUUUCCCUCAUGACGAAGCAGGCCAAAUACCCGUGGCUUUUGUAGUGAGAAAAUCAGGAAGCCUGAUUAAUGAGUUGAAGAUUAUAGGCUUUGUUGCCAAAUGGGCAUGCACCAAAAAUUACCUAUUCCGGAUUAAAGAGUGCAGAAUCGAAUCAGAUCAUUAUUACAGACACAGCAGAAUAGGAACAGUUGCUUUGAGUUGUGAGCACAAGCACAUUUGUUGUCCUUCUUGUCAUUUCAUUCCUACUCAUUAUUGGAUUUGCCUCUACGUUGCUUCAU